UAAACUCAAUUUUCAUCAACCUGUUGUGAACACUACUUUUAAAUAAGUAAGUAGUAAUUUGGGGUUGGAGAACUUGCUUAACUUGAUAUAUCCCAGUUAAGUCAAAUUAGAAAAAAUAAUUUCUUGUACCCAGUGUCCUUUGGGCGUUCUAUCAGACAUGCGCAGAUCUGCCCUGCCCACUUUCGCGCUCUUUCCAACACCUUUCUCAGUUAUUUUCGCCAUUGUGGGUUUACUUGUCCUCAGCACACUGAUUUGGCACUGCUGCAAUCGUCACACUUUUUCUGUUACAAACUGACCCGGCCCCUCAUCAGAGAAGGGAAAAGUCAUGUGGCCUUCACAGGAAAAGGUUUGGGGACCCCUGCUUUAGAGUGUUUGUCAUCUGCCCUUCCAUUUGCUUUUCUUCAUGUGCAGUGCUCCCCCUCCAUGUUUGAUCAAACUGCACUGAUAAUUUGAAAUUGUUUUAAAAUGCAUUAAUCGCAAAAAUCAGAGGACUAGAUCACAUUUCCCCCUGUUAUUUCACCACUUUAACUUUGGUCUAACCUAAUAUAGGAAUACAGAUAGAAAGAGUGCAGAGAUCACACUCGACGCCAUAACAACCUGGUGUGUUUAAGGUUGGUCAUUUAUGUGCCUAUAUUUUGAAAUUGUUGCCUUAAUUUUGUGUUCUUUUUCACCAUCCCCCAAUCAGGCUGAAGCAAAUGGUCAAAAGUCCACACAUACCUCAGUCUCAGCAAUUACAGGUCAACCAAAGCAGUAUUCUCUAAUGCAGUGGACUUGCAAGUACUGCACAUUUUCUGCUGAAAAGAGCCUACUUGCUUAAGCAUUACCGCUUAAAACAUGGAUACCACACUCGGACAUCCCUACUCCCAUGUCUUCAUAAGGACUGCCUCUGCACAUUUAAAUCUUUUAAUGCACUCAAAG